AAUCAGAUUCCUGAAAGGGGUAUAGUACUCUGGAAAGGCUGAGAGCCAUUGGUGUAGACAUAUCGCAAGUUAUGAUCAAAUUCCAGUGACUUUUGUAACACAUUAUUUUUAAACUAUGUGGCAAAGACUCCAGCAUUAUGUGGCAUCUCACUCCCAAAAUCCAUUUCUCCCCUCUCCUAGUCCAGUCACUCUUGUGUUAUUUACUUUGGUAUUAGACUUAAUUUAUUUUAGGCAGCCCCCAAAAUUUGUACUUUCAAAGUGCUGCAAGUUUUGUUCUGACAAUGAAGAGCAGCAAUGAAGGACUUGUCAGGAGAAGAUGGAGAUUUCAUUGUUAGGUAGGGAAUACUAGGAGGAUUUAGCUCACAGGAAGUUGUGAGGUUGUUUUGGGAGCCAGCUGAAGGGUUUGGCAUUGAGGAGAAGAUUCUUUCCCUCCCGCUUCUGGCUGUGAAUAGGAGGGGAGGGCUCACUGAGGUGAGAGAGAAGGCACUUGAAUUCCUCAUCUCUCACUCCAGCAACCCUUGACAGCAUCGAGCCACCCCAGUCCACUCCCACCUCAAUGUCUGCGACUACAUCCACAAGUGACAGAUCAGGUGAUAUUUGUUACCUCAGUAUUAACAUGCCACUGAGAUGCACAGGAAAGUUAACAUUUUCUCUGAGCCAAUGUUUCAGGCUAUUGUUUGCAGACUAAGACAGAGAUUACUGCAUCAGUUUAUACCAGAUUCACAUUCUGAUGGUUGUCUUCUCCACCCCAGGGCUAGGGACUUAACUUUUAAGUGAAAUCUCACCUGCAAUACAAUUAUGCAGCUGCAUAACUGUAUUACACAUGGGGCCCGGAUUGUGACACUGCCUUCUAAUGAUGGAAUGUGAUGAGGGAAAAAUUGUAAUUCAGCAUCAUGAUGUGAUUAUUUUGUGUCUUUCUGUAACUGCCUUUGAUAAGACAGUAACUGUCCACCUCUUCAAAGGUAGUAUCAUGGUUUUAAAUCAUAAAUGUAUUAGCAUAAAAAUCUUAUGAUCAGUUCAUGGAAAAAUGGAGCAAAGCGGGGUAACAGAUAUAUUAUGGUAUUGCUAUAGACUUCAUAAUUACAAUUUUAGCACCCUGUGUCUAUGUUAAUAUUGUAAAUAUUAAAAUCUCAAGGACUGUUAAGCAAUAUGUAAAAGUACCUAGCAGAGGUAUGGAUUGGUGUCUGUGUCGUUAAUAGCACUGUCUACAUUAUAAAAGUAGAAGGUUAUAUUAAUGAUGAUAAUAAAAAUGAGAUAAUACACAGCAGAGAGGAAAACACAUUAAGUGAGGCUAGCAAGAGUAUUUUUUCUUGAGUUGCAGAGAGCUAGAACAUUCAUCUUUCUAAUGAGACCUGUUCUUCCGAAUAUAAGAAAAAAAAAUCAAGAAGUUCAAUGUCCUUGUGUAGACAAGCCCUUAGAGAUAAUCUAGGCCAAAAACACAGGAACAGGGAAUUAUCAGGACCGACCUUUAGAGUUUUGAAGUUUAUUAGAAAUGUUGGCUAGCUCUUGCUUCUGCUCUGUUCUGGAUUUCUGCUCCAAGUAGACUUGCUUAGCAUCCAGAGAAAAAGGUAUUGGUCUAAUAACAACAACAAUGAUAAUUAUAAUAAAAUCUGAAGAUGAAAGGAACUCCAAUCAAAAGGAAAUGUGUCAGAAAAGCCUAAACUCUCAACUGAUCAUGCUCAGAAUAACCACAGUGUGCUUCACUGAAAUUCAGUAAGAUUGGGGAUUAGAAAAGGAAGGCACAGUCUAUGAAAACUAUUCUUUUAUUGCAAUACUUUGGUGGAGGACAAACUACACAAACUGGGUUUGCCAUUCAGAUCUUCUCAAUAUCCCCUUAUUUUUGCACUUUAUCACUGCCAGAUAUUUGCCUUUUCUAUUGCCAUUACCGAGAGAGUGUCCUGCAUUUAACAUUAGAUACUACUGCUGCUGUAACUGCAAUUUGUGGAUAAAGAGGACUUUGAUAUUAAUUGGGUUCCCUAAAGGCCCACGGUCACAGUCAGUACUGAAAGAAAAAGCAUCAGGAGAGAGGGUUCUAUUGAAAACACACCCUGGAGCCAAGGGGGGCACUAUGCAACAUGCUAAAAAGCAAAACAAAUCCAUAACUAACACUCAUCCUCAUAAAACGAAGUAAUUGAGAAUGCAGAUGUCUGGUACAAAUUUAGAAAAACAGGAAUGGGAGGGAACGCUAAUAAAUACAGUGCUAAUAGAAGCCAUUCUAAAAUCCCAUUUUGUGGUGGGAAGUUUUUAGGGGCUUUUUAAGAAGUGGGAAGAGAAGCAUCUCAGGAGACUGCACAAUCCACUCCCUGAUGAUAACACUGAGCACUUAUCACAGUUUUAAUUCACAGAUCUCUAAAUGCUUUACAAUGGGGGAUAAGCAUGAUCAUCUACAUUUUACAGACAGAGAAGUGCUUGUGCUAAGGCCAAACAUCAGUUCAGUGACAGCAUUAUUAGGAACAGAAGCCAGGCCUCCUGACUUCCAGUCUGCUGCUCUGUUAAAUGGACUAUCCUGCCUCCUAAGGCCACCCAACGAAGAUGUGAUUGUCUGCCUGUUUAAGAUACAAGAGUUACAGAAAUUGCCAUACUGGAUUAGAUCCAAGAUCCAUCUAGUUCAGGAUCAUGUCUCUGACAGUGGCCAGGACCAGAUGCUUGAGAAGAACGCAAGAAUGGCCACACUGGGUCCAUCUAGCCGAGUAUCCUGUCUUCUGACGGUGGCCAGUGCCAUAUGUUUCCGAGGGAAUGAACUGAAUUGGGCAAUUAUUGAGUGAUCCAUCCCCUGUUGUCCAGUCACAACUUCGAGCUGUCAGAGGUUCAGGGACACCCAGAGCAUGGGAUUGGGAGAAACCCUGCAAGAGGCAGAGUUGAUAGGGUUUGUGAUCAUGUGACAAAGGGAUAGCAUUUCCAUCCUUAUCACACAGGACUCCCCGUGAAUCACCAACAUUGGCCACUGUAAGUUCUUUAUCUGACAGCAAUGCAAUCAAACAGGUAGUACCUGA